rnacentral:tmRNA from 1 species
GGGGGCGACAGGCUUACGCGUAGGGAAACAACAAUUGCCAACUCUAACGAGUUAGCUCUCGCGGCCUAAACAGCUAGCGAGCGUCUCCGCCGCAAGUUGCUCAUGCGCGCGGAUGGAGAUGUCACCUUAGAUGAGCUGGCCCAUCGCUUCGGUCCGUGGUGGUGGGUGAGAUCAAGCCGGACUAGCUCGUGCUGAGGUCUUGCUAUUUCACUUACUCGGCGUUGGGCAAAACUUGUCCGGUCGCAAGGCCGGACGAAAAGAGAAGCAGCUAAGCAUGUAGAGUCCUUCGGCGUUGGCUUUUGGAUCCGGGUUCGAUUCCCGGCGCCUCCACCA